rnacentral:rRNA from 1 species
GACGAACGCUGGCGGCGUGCCUAAUACAUGCAAGUAGAACGCACAGUUUAUACCGUAGCUUGCUACACCAUAAACUGUGAGUUGCGAACGGGUGAGUAACGCGUAGGUAACCUGCCUGGUAGCGGGGGAUAACUAUUGGAAACGAUAGCUAAUACCGCAUAAUAUUAAUUAUUGCAUGAUAAUUGAUUGAAAGAUGCAAUUGCAUCACUACCAGAUGGACCUGCGUUGUAUUAGCUAGUAGGUGAGGUAACGGCUCACCUAGGCGACGAUACAUAGCCGACCUGAGAGGGUGAUCGGCCACACUGGGACGGAGACACGGCCCAGACUCCUACGGGAGGCAGCAGUAGGGAAUCUUCGGCAAUGGACGAAAGUCUGACCGAGCAACGCCGCGUGAGUGAAGAAGGUUGUCGGAUCGUAAAGCUCUGUUGUAAGAGAAGAACGGGUGUGAGAGUGGAAAGUUCACACUGUGACGGUAUCUUACCAGAAAGGGACGGCUAACUACGUG